rnacentral:rRNA from 1 species
AUGGAUGAGGUCACAAGGGGUAUACAAGGAGAUAUCCCAUGGUGUAUGCUCUUUGCGGAUGAUGUGGUGCUAGUUGACGAUAGUCGGACGGGGGUAAAUAGGAAGUUAGAGUUAUGGAGACAAACCUUGGAAUCGAAAGGGUUUAGGCUUAGUAGAACUAAAACCGAGUACAUGAUGUGCGGUUUCAGUACUACUAGCUGUGAGGAGGAGGAGGUUAGCCUUGAUGGCCAAGUGGUACCUCGGAAGGACACCUUUCGGUAUUUGGGGUCAAUGCUGCAGGAGGAUGGGGGUAUUGAUGAAGAUGUGAACCAUCGAAUCAAAGCCGGAUGGAUGAAGUGGCGCCAAGCUUCUGGCAUUCUCUGUGACAAGAGAGUGCCACAAAAGCUAAAAGGCAAGUUCUACAAGACGGCGGUUCGACCCGCAAUGUUGUAUGGCGCGGAGUGUUGGCCGACUAAAAGGCGACAUGUUCAACAGUUAGGUGUGGCGGAGAUGCGUAUGUUGAGAUGGAUGUGUGGCCACACGAGGAAGGAUCGAGUCUGGAAUGAUGAUAUACAAGAUAGAGUUGGGGUAGCACCAAUUGAGGAGAAGCUUGUCCAACAUCGUUUGAGAUGGUUUGGGCAUAUUCAG